rnacentral:rRNA from 1 species
UACGUAGGGUGCAAGCGUUGUCCGGAAUUAUUGGGCGUAAAGAGCUCGUAGGCGGUCUGUCGCGUCGGCUGUGAAAACCCGAGGCUCAACCUCGGGCCUGCAGUCGAUACGGGCAGACUAGAGUGCUGUAGGGGAGACUGGAAUUCCUGGUGUAGCAGUGAAAUGCGUAGAUAUCAGGAGGAAUACCGAUGGCGAAGGCAGGUCUCUGGGCUGACACUGACGCUCAUGCACGAAAGCGUGGGGAGCAAACAGG